rnacentral:rRNA from 1 species
UGGGGGAAUUUUGGACAAUGGGCGAAAGCCUGAUCCAGCAAUGCCGCGUGUGUGAAGAAGGCCUUCGGGUUGUAAAGCACUUUUGUCCGGAAAGAAAUCCUUGGCUCUAAUACAGUCGGGGGAUGACGGUACCGGAAGAAUAAGCACCGGCUAACUACGUGCCAGCAGCCGCGGUAAUACGUAGGGUGCAAGCGUUAAUCGGAAUUACUGGGCGUAAAGCGUGCGCAGGCGGUUUGCUAAGACCGAUGUGAAAUCCCCGGGCUCAACCUGGGAACUGCAUUGGUGACUGGCAGGCUAGAGUAUGGCAGAGGGGGGUAGAAUUCCACGUNUAGCAGUGAAAUGCGUAGAGAUGUGGAGGAAUACCGAUGGCGAAGGCAGCCCCCUGGGCCAAUACUGACGCUCAUGCACGAAAGCGUGGGGAGCAAACAGGAUUAGAUACCCUGGGUAGUCCACGCCCUAAAACGAUGUCAACUAGUUGUUGGGGAUUCAUUUCCUUAGUAACGUAGCUAACGCGUGAAGUUGACCGCCUGGGGGAGUACGGUCGCAAGAUUAAAACUUAAAUGAA